rnacentral:RNase_P_RNA from 1 species
CGAGUUGGCCGGGCGGCCGCGGCGCCGAGAACCACGUGCGGGUGCACGCAGGCUCGGCAUCGAGGAAAGUCCGGACUCCACAGAGCAGGGCGGUUGCUAACGGCAACCCGAGGCGACUCGCGGGAAAGUGCCACAGAAAACAGACCGCGCGCGAUCGAGGUCGUGCGUAAGGGUGAAACGGUGCGGUAAGAGCGCACCAGCGUCCCGGGUGACCGGGACGGCUCGGUAAACCCCGCCCGGAGCAAGGUCGAAGGUCGCACCGCGUGCGGUGCGGCUGCGCAGGCGUUCGAGGGCUGCUCGCCUGAGCCUGCGGGUGGACCGCUCGAGGCACCCGGUGACGGUGUGUCCAGAUGGAUGGCCGCCGACCAGCAAUCUAGCUGGUCACAGGAUCCGGCUUACAGGCCAACUCGUCCG